CCAGACUCCUACGGGAGGCAGCAGUGGGGAAUAUUGCACAAUGGGGGAAACCCUGAUGCAGCGACGCCGCGUGAAGGACGAAGUAUUUCGGUACGUAAACUUCUAUCAGCAGGGAAGAAAAUGACGGUACCUGACCAAGAAGCCCCGGCUAACUACGUGCCAGCAGCCGCGGUAAUACGUAGGGGGCAAGCGUUAUCCGGAUUUACUGGGUGUAAAGGGAGCGUAGACGGCCGUGCAAGUCUGAUGUGAAAACCCGGGGCUCAACCCCGGGACUGCAUUGGAAACUGCAUGGCUGGAGUGUCGGAGAGGCAAGUGGAAUUCCUAGUGUAGCGGUGAAAUGCGUAGAUAUUAGGAGGAACACCAGUGGCGAAGGCGGCUUGCUGGACGACGACUGACGUUGAGGCUCGAAAGCGUGGGGAGCAAACAGGAUUAGAUACCCUGGUAGAU
rnacentral:rRNA from 1 species